GCCUGAGUGGCUCAGUCAGUUGAGCACCUGACUUCUGCUCAGAUCAUGAUCUCAUGGCUCGUCUCAUGGGUUCAAGCCCCAUGUCGGGCC
rnacentral:tRNA from 1 species